ACAUAAUAAACAACAGAAUAUAUAGGGUAGAUGAAGAGUGAGAUCU
rnacentral:guide_RNA from 1 species